UCAAAACCAAAUUCAAAUGUAUCAAUAUCAUUCAUUUCAUGAUCAUAAAAUGUUCAUUACAUCAAAAAAUACAAAUUUGGAUAUGUUGACCAAAUGUUGACUUUUGUCAACAAUUGACUUUUUGGUAAACUUUGACAAAAGUCAACCCAACCUUUUUCAUCCCAAAUCCCCAUCCUAAUCCUAAUGCUAAUCUUCAAACUUGGAUCCAUCUUGAUCUUUGCAUCUUUGCCACUUCUACAUGGAUGCUUCAAAGUCCAACUUUGAUGCCAUGUUUGUUCAACCAUCAUGCCAUGAACUUAGCAAAACAUGAGCAAACCAUGACCUACAUGAAUUCCAAGCCAAUGAACUAAGGUCAAAAUUUAAAUGAACCCAAAAGCUACACAUGGAUGAAACCAAAGUCAGAAUGAGAAUGCAAUGCUAUCACAAGUCAGAAUGAACAUGGCCAAGACCUGCUACAAGCCAACAUACAUGAACAAUCCUGCAUAAUGGACAUGCUGUAGAACACAACAUGAAGCAAUACAUACAUGAUACACCUACAGAAAUCACAAGCUGCUAUGAAAACCUGAAACAUGAACUGAAUACCCCGAUGCACCAGUCAGAACCUAUUCAUACAAAACCAAGCAAACUUAGGUUUCAUCAUGUUGCAAGCCAACAUUAGAAAUGCACACUGACCUACUACAUCAGAAUCCAUAGCUGUAAAGAAUCACAACGCAAAAAAAUACACCAUUGAGCAUCAUCAAACUAAUCUCAACUGAACUUAGUAUUCACAACAAAACAUCCACCACAAACUAAGUCAAAGCUUAAGCUAUUGGACCUAAUUUCCAAGACUCACAAAACUCAACACAACAAAACCAUUCAAAAGACUCAACUGAACAAAACCAAGGACUGGACCUACAAACCAUAACUAAAUUUAAUCAGAACAUAACUGAAUGCCCCAACUACUUUGCCUUGGGAUCCACACAUAACUACAAAAUAGAAAACUGAAUAACAUAAUUGACACAAAAUUCCACAACAAAUCCCUAAUUGAAUUUUCUAAUUGUAUCAAUCUCUCUAACCACCUAUAAAUAGCAAAGUCCAAUCAUUGGAAUCCUCCCCAUUCAUUUUUGCAUCCAAAAUUGAUUCCAAUCUUCAAUCAUUACAGAAAAUAUCUACAAUCACUUUUCAUCACUCACCCCCAAAAAACCACCUUCAUCAUUCUGAACCAAAACUUCAUUAAUCCGCACAUUCAAACUUCAUCACCCUAACCUAAACAACUUCAUCUCCAUCAUCAACAUAUCAAUCAACAUCAGAAUCUCAUCAUCAACAACACCUUACAUCACUCAAUUCUCAUGUAACAUCGCAUUUAGAAAAACCAAAUAAAAAAAUCAAGAAGAGACGAAGAGAGUGGGAGAAUUAAGUUAAAGCAUGGAAGAAUCAGAAUCAUUACCUGGAAAUAAGAGUUCACCUGCGUUCAUCAUCACCUUCGAAAUCUCUGGUACGGUGAG
rnacentral:lncRNA from 1 species